GACGAACGCUGGCGGCGUGCUUAACACAUGCAAGUCGAGCGGUAAGGCCCUUUCGGGGUACGACGAGCGGCGAACGGGUGAGUAACACGUGGGUGACCUGCCCUCCAGCUCUGGGAGUAAGCCUCGGGAAACCGGGGUACUAAUACCGGAUAUGACUCCAUGACGCAUGUUGUGGGGUGGAAAGCCUUGUGCGGCUGAGGAUGGGCCCGCGGCCUAUCAGCUUGUUGGUGGGGUGAUGGCCUACCAAGGCGACGACGGGUAGCCGGCCUGAGAGGGCGACCGGCCACACUGGGACUGAGACACGGCCCAGACUCCUACGGGAGGCAGCAGUGGGGGAAUCUUGCGCAAUGGGCGAAAGCCUGACGCAGCGACGCCGCGUGAGGGAUGACGGCCUGUGUA
rnacentral:rRNA from 1 species